ensembl:snRNA U6 U6 spliceosomal RNA
GUGCCCCCUUCAGUGGCACAUCUACUAAAAUUGGAAUGAUGCAGAGAGGAUGAACAUGGAUGACAUACAUUAAAGUGAAUCCUUACCUUCUUGU